UCCGAGUUAUCCCCGGCAGUCUCCUAUGAGUCCCCGGCCGAACCGCUGGCAACAUAGGACAAGGGUUGCGCUCGUUGCGGGACUUAACCCAACAUCUCACGACACGAGCUGACGACAGCCAUGCACCACCUGUGCGCGCUCCCUCGCGGGUCAGCCGACUUUCGCCGACUUACCACGAGCAUGUCAAGCCCGGGUAAGGUUCUGCGCGUUGCAUCGAAUUAAACCACACGCUCCGCUGCUUGUGCGGGCCCCCGUCAAUUCCUUUGAGUUUCAGCCUUGCGGCCGUACUCCCCAGGCGGGGCACUUCAUGCGUUUGCGCCGGCCCCCAAGGGGUCGCUCCCCCAGAGACCUAGUGCCCAUCGUUUACGGCGUGGACUAC
rnacentral:misc_RNA from 1 species